UCCGUAGGUGAACCUGCGGAGGGAUCAUUACCGAGUUUACAACUCCCAAACCCCUGUGAACCAUACCCAUAUCGUUGCCUCGGCGGCGCCCCCUCGGGGGACCGCCAGAGGACCCAAACUCUUGCUUUCGUACAAGUUUGUCUGAGUGUUGCUGCAAGCAAAAUAAAUCAAAACUUUCAACAACGGAUCUCUUGGCUCUGGCAUCGAUGAAGAACGCAGCGAAAUGCGAUACGUAAUGUGAAUUGCAGAAUCCAGUGAAUCAUCGAAUCUUUGAACGCACAUUGCGCCCGCCAGUAUUCUGGCGGGCAUGCCUGUCCGAGCGUCAUUUCAACCCUCAAGCCCCUCCGGGUGCUUGGUGUCGGAGACCGGCGAACCCGGCCCCUCCCCGGGGCCCCGGGCGCCGCCUCCCAAAUCCAGUGGCGGUCUCGCCGCAGCCUUCCCUGCGUAGUAGCAUCUUAUUUCGCAUGGGAGAGCGGCGCGGCCACGCCGUUAAACACCCCACUUCUGAACGGUUGACCUCGGAUCAGGUAGGACUACCCGCUGAACUUAAGCAUAUCAAUAAGCGGAGGAAAAGAAACCAACAGGGAUUGCCCUAGUAACGGCGAGUGAAGCGGCAACAGCUCAAAUUUGAAAUCUGGCCCUCGGGUCCGAGUUGUAAUUUGUAGAGGAUGCUUUUGGUGCGGCGCCUUCCGAGUUCCCUGGAACGGGACGCCAUAGAGGGUGAGAGCCCCGUCUGGUUGGACGCCAAUCCUCUGUAAAGCUCCUUCGACGAGUCGAGUAGUUUGGGAAUGCUGCUCUAAAUGGGAGGUAUAUGUCUUCUAAAGCUAAAUACCGGCCAGAGACCGAUAGCGCACAAGUAGAGUGAUCGAAAGAUGAAAAGCACUUUGAAAAGAGAGUUAAAAAGUACGUGAAAUUGUUGAAAGGGAAACGCUUGAAGU
rnacentral:sRNA from 1 species